rnacentral:ncRNA from 2 species
GGAAAGCCGGUGGAAGACCGGCGCUGACCUGCAACCGUGAGCGGAGCCCUGCCGGGCGGCGAUGACGAAGGCCGGCGGAACCGCGAGCCGGACC